UGGGAGCAUUAAUAAUUCCUUCCUUGCUUGC
rnacentral:piRNA from 1 species